rnacentral:rRNA from 1 species
UGGGAGCACGCUUAGGCGUGUGACUGCGUACCUUUUGUAUAAUGGGUCAGCGACUUAUAUUCUGUAGCAAGGUUAACCGAAUAGGGGAGCCGAAGGGAAACCGAGUCUUAACUGGGCGUUAAGUUGCAGGGUAUAGACCCGAAACCCGGUGAUCUAGCCAUGGGCAGGUUGAAGGUUGGGUAACACUAACUGGAGGACCGAACCGACUAAUGUUGAAAAAUUAGCGGAUGACUUGUGGCUGGGGGUGAAAGGCCAAUCAAACCGGGAGAUAGCUGGUUCUCCCCGAAAGCUAUUUAGGUAGCGCCUCGUGAAUUCAUCUCCGGGGGUAGAGCACUGUUUCGGCAAGGGGGUCAUCCCGACUUACCAACCCGAUGCAAACUGCGAAUACCGGAGAAUGUUAUCACGGGAGACACACGGCGGGUGCUAACGUCCGUCGUGAAGAGGGAAACAACCCAGACCGCCAGCUAAGGUCCCAAAGUCAUGGUUAAGUGGGAAACGAUGUGGGAAGGCCCAGACAGCCAGGAUGUUGGCUUAGAAGCAGCCAUCAUUUAAAGAAAGCGUAAUAGCUCACUGGUCGAGUCGGCCUGCGCGGAAGAUGUAACGGGGCUAAACCAUG